rnacentral:rRNA from 1 species
AGUGAACGCUGGCGGUAGGCCUAACACAUGCAAGUCGAACGGCAGCACAGUAAGAGCUUGCUCUUACGGGUGGCGAGUGGCGGACGGGUGAGGAAUACAUCGGAAUCUACUUUUUCGUGGGGGAUAACGUAGGGAAACUUACGCUAAUACCGCAUACGACCUACGGGUGAAAGCAGGGGAUCUUCGGACCUUGCGCGAUUGAAUGAGCCGAUGUCGGAUUAGCUAGUUGGCGGGGUAAAGGCCCACCAAGGCGACGAUCCGUAGCUGGUCUGAGAGGAUGAUCAGCCACACUGGAACUGAGACACGGUCCAGACUCCUACGGGAGGCAGCAGUGGGGAAUAUUGGACAAUGGGCGCAAGCCUGACGGAGCAACGCCGCGUGAGUGAUGAAGGUCUUCGGAUCGUAAAACUCUGUUAUUAGGGAAGAACAUAUGUGUAAGUAACUGUGCACAUCUUGACGGUACCUAAUCAGAAAGCCACGGCUAACUACGUG